AUAAGAUCAAGUAAAAACGACGGAGGAGAAGACAGCCAAUCAGAAGAUAGUAAUGAAGCCCCAUGGGCUUUUGCGGCCCGAUCAGCAACAGAGUUCGCCUCGCGUCUGCAGAACUGGAUUUGCAAAUUAGGGAAACGAAGCAAGAGAGACGCACAGUCGUGGAAGAGAGCUCUGCUCUCCCAUGGCGUCAGGUCAGGGUGAAGGAGGGCUUCCACAAGGACAGCGCAGUCCGAUUCCAGCACCAAUCGAUCUUUGGCUUUCCCUUGUUGCAGUAGAAAUUGAAGAGUAAGAGAAAAGGCGAGCACCUCGGCCUGUAGAGCUGAGGAAGCGUUAACAGUGCGUGUAAAUCCAUCGAUUAGGAAGCCGGAGGAGUUACGGCAAACGCAGGCCACCGAUGCUCUAGUAAUGGCAGACAGGUAAGAAGCAUCUAUAUUGAUUUUAAUUACUCCCUUUUCCGGUGGCUGCCAUCGUUGUGUUUCUGCUGAGAUCUGAGAACUCUGAUUUUGCUUUUUUCCAUUAUAGCGCCGAUCGGACUGGACGUUUGCUAAGGCCACCUGCACUACCUGCUCUGAGUUUGAUCUCUGCUGGCGGAAGACGGAAUUAUUACGAGCUUUCCAGAUCUGCCAAAGGAUGGGG
rnacentral:lncRNA from 1 species